rnacentral:RNase_P_RNA from 1 species
CAGCCGGACCGGACGGUCGCUCUCGCCGCAUUCCGCGGCGCGGGAGGAAAGUCCGAACUCCGUAGAGCAGUGUGCCGGAUAACGUCCGGGAGACUGGCUUCAAGGUCAGUCGACGGAAAGUGCCACAGAAAACAUACCGCCUUCGUUCUUCGGAACUGGGGUAAGGGUGAAAAGGUGCGGUAAGAGCGCACCGCCGCGGCAGCAAUGCAGCGGGCAGGGCAAACCCCACACGGAGCAAGACCAAAUAGGGAGGGAUCUCGGGUUCGCCCGAGGACGUGCCGGCUCGGCGCGUCAAACCUCCGGGUAGGUCGCUAGAGCCGCGCAGCAAUGCGCGACCCAGAGGAAUGACCGUCCUGGCGGAGCAAUCCGUCAGACAGAAUUCGAUUGGCUGGCGA